ACACAGCAGUAAGACCAACAAUGUCCCUGCUCUAGUGAACCUUAUUGCCUACUGGGUGUAAGAGGAAAGGAGACCAAUACAUCCAUAGAGAAUCUGAGAUAGUCCUAAGUACUUAAAAGUAAAGAGAAUGGGGUAAAAUGUGGAGCCUAAAUGGUGCAUGUGUGGGUUUGGUACUUGGCUGCCAGCAGAAUGAAGUCAUAAUUUCAGGAGUCCAAGAGAAUAGAUCAAAAUCACGCCAACACUUUCAUGGAUGGAUAUAUGCUGCUAAAUGGAUGUUUACCUAGAAAAGUCAUCAUCUGGCAGGCAGCACAGUGCAUGUUCCUAAGGAGCUAGCUCAUGUAUACUAAACAAAUUUGGCUUGGCUGCUGUGAGAGCUGCCCUGUGGAAAUUCUCAACAUACAUUUGUUUGAUUGAGCCGUCAUUCCCAGUUGAUCUGCUGAUGAUCUGUGUCACUUUGUUUAAAUGUCCUGGUGUGGUUUUUUAUAUAUAUACAGUGAAAAGCCAGUAUGUUUCUGUGAUGGAUUAAAUAGAGGUGAAAUUUGA